AAGGAAAUCAUGUUUUGUAGCUCAAAGAGGAAGUAAUGUGACAUUGCCACUGUCUUGACUUUGUUCUCCUUUCCUUCCUCUUUAGAUUCUUUAGAGCUAGAUUCCCAUAAGAUAACAGUCCUGUGGUACAUCCAUAACCCAGAGAUAUGAAAACAAUGAAACAAGGGGAGAAAAGGAAAUCUGUGGAAAGACGAAGACUGCAUAAAUGGGAGAAUGGUGCUGCUUAUUAAGCAGAUUCUCUGCUGUAGGUGAGAACGCAGCUUCAGAUCUUCCUUGUCUUGUGGACUACAGUUUUCCCAUCACAAUUUACUGACGUUCGGUAAGCAGUGAAGUUACAGGUUUAAAAUCUGGCACUUCGCCAUCUCUGUGUCCUUUUUAAUUUGUUUGUCCUGCAGCUGGGAGGGUUGUGGUAGCCUAGAGCUCCCUCUUUAGGUCAUUUGAAAGGUGACAAGUUUUUAACAUCCUGAUGUUUUCAUGCAGUUAGGAGCCCAAUCCUGCACAAAUGUCCAGCACCAUAAAAAUCGGACUUUUAAUUGCUAAAAGAUUUACUGCAUACCAGAUAACUGAAUAGCUGACCUGAGCCUGGAUGUGUUAAAACCAGUUGCAGCCUUACCAGUAACUUCAGUGAGAAUCGUGCCCAUCAUGCAUGCAGCACCGUCUGCCAUUCCAGUAUUCUUCACAACGCCGUUUGUGCUGGUUUUAAAGUGAUCAUGAAACAUCAAUUCCAAAAGCAGUAUUAUCUUACCAAAACUCAACAGAAUGCCAGUUCCUAUUCGAAUUAAUGGCUUUUGUGGUGCAGAAAACACAGGAUAGCUAUAUACAGACCAGAUAGCAAAUACCCCCAAAAAGACAAUUCUCUGUGGAACAGGCAAGCAAAGUUGCCAAAAGAUCCAGUAGGCGUUCUUAUCAAAUGCUUUUAUUGAGAAAUAAACAUGAGAUUUUUUUUUUCCA
rnacentral:lncRNA from 1 species